GUGGGGAAUAUUGGACAAUGGGCGCAAGCCUGAUCCAGCCAUGCCGCGUGAGUGAUGAAGGCCUUAGGGUUGUAAAGCUCUUUCACCGAUGAAGAUAAUGACGGUAGUCGGAGAAGAAGCCCCGGCUAACUUCGUGCCAGCAGCCGCGGUAAUACGAAGGGGGCUAGCGUUGUUCGGAUUUACUGGGCGUAAAGCGCACGUAGGCGGUUUGUUAAGUCAGGGGUGAAAUCCCGGAGCUCAACUCCGGAACUGCCUUUGAUACUGGCAAGCUAGAGUCCGGAAGAGGUAAGUGGAACUCCUAGUGUAGAGGUGGAAUUCGUAGAUAUUAGGAAGAACACCAGUGGCGAAGGCGGCUCACUGGUCCGGUACUGACGCUGAGGUGCGAAAGCGUGGGGAGCAAACAGGAUUAGAAACCCGGGUAGUCC
rnacentral:rRNA from 1 species